GUGGGGAAUAUUGCACAAUGGGGGAAACCCUGAUGCAGCAACGCCACGUGUGGGAAGAAGCAUUUCGGUGUGUAAACCACUGUCGUGAGGGAAUAAGGCAUUGUUUCGGCGAUGUUGAAUGUACCUCGAGAGGAAGCACCGGCAAACUUCGUGCCAGCAGCCGCGGUAAUACGAGGGGUGCAAGCGUUGUUCGGAAUCACUGGGCGUAAAGGGAGCGCAGGCGGAAGCUCAAGCGGAUUGUACAAUACCGGGGCCCAACCCCGGACCUGCAGUCCGAACUGGGUUUCUUGGAUAGUUCAGGGGCAAGCGGAAUUCCUGGUGUAGCGGUGGAAUGCGUAGAGAUCAGGAAGAACACCGAUGGCGAAGGCAGCUUGCUGGGGACUUAUCGACGCUCAUGCUCGAAAGUGCGGGUAGCAAACAGG
rnacentral:rRNA from 1 species